GAAUUCUUCAACCAGACCACAAAAUAUAUUUUAAUCAAGUUAUUGUCAUAUACACAAUGUGUCUUUUUUUUGCCGCACAUAAUCUAACUGUAAUCCUAAAUAAAUGUCGUCACAAAAAUUUACAAAUUUUCUAACUAUCAAAUAUUUUGUAAUAAGUAAUUAUAACCAAAAGCAUAAUAAAAAAUAGAAUCAGACUCUUAUAUUUUCUCAAACACUCUAUAAAAUUGGCUAUGUAGCUAAAAGCAUAAGU
rnacentral:lncRNA from 1 species